UACGAAGGUGGCAAGCGUUGUUCGGAUUACUGGGCGUACAGGGAGCGUAGGCGGUUGGAUAAGCCCUCCGUGAAAUCUCCAGGCUUAACCUGGAAAGUGCAGAGGGGACUGUUCAGCUAGAGGAUGGGAGAGGAGCGCGGAAUUCCCGGUGUAGCGGUGAAAUGCGUAGAGAUCGGGAGGAAGGCCGGUGGCGAAGGCGGCGCUCUGAACAUUUCUGACGCUGAGGCUCGAAAGCGUGGGGAGCAAACAGG
rnacentral:rRNA from 1 species